AAGGAACCAUCUGAAUCAAAUUUUAUUUGUCAUCAGUCCUAAGUCGAGCUAGAUCUUGUUGUCUUGGCUGCUGCAUUCCACGACCAUUAUCUCGAAUUGGUGCAAACAGAACAGACUCUAAUUAGAACAGAGAAGAAGAAAUCAGAGAUAUAUCAUGGCAAGUGAAGACCUGAAGAACACAAACCACAAGCGAAGACAUUGAGUAUUCCAGGUGCGAUCACCAUGAUGUCUUUGCGAAACGAAGACUAUUUCAAAAAACCACCAGAGCAAAUCAUGGUUAAAUCGAGAUUAUUUUGAAAAACCACCAAAGGAAAUCAAACAACCCAGAAAGUACAACAAGACUCGGCACGCAAUUGAUAAUCUCUCCUACUUAAAUUCAGUCAAGUAGAAGCAUGCUACCUAGCCCUUGAAUCCCUCAUAUUUAAAUUUGCAUGCAAGGCAUAUGCAACAACAAUAUAUCCACUGAAUCACACUUCUGGGCUUCCUUCGCAUUGUCUAGUAAGCUGGCAUUGAUAAGUCACAAGAUUUAAAAAAGCUGAGACUAAAAAAGUACUUGACAUAACUAUCAUAUGUAUAUGUACUCCCUCCAUUCCCAAAUAUAAGUCUUUUUUAGAGAUUCCAAUAUAGACUACAUUCGUAGCAAAAUAAGUGAAUCUACACUCUAAACUAUGUCUACAUGCAUUCGUAUGUAGUUCAUAUUGAAAUAUCUAAAAAGACAUACAUUUAGGAAUGGACGGGGUAGUAUAUAGAGAUUCAGGAGGGCCAAAUUAGGUACAGAACAAUAAAUGCACAAUUGGCUUUUCAGGAUCAAAAGAACCUUCUAUACAAUAUAAUGCACCGUCAGUUCCUCGCUAACUGCUUGCAAAUAGUAUUCCUUAACACCUGGCAUAAAACAGUACAAUCACAGUACCAUUGCUCUCUUUCCGACAGUUGGUAUUCAAGGAGGAGCUAGUAAUGUCGGUGGAUGCAGAUCUAGUUGAUAAUAAUUCAACAUUCAAUCGAAAAUCGAACAUACAGACUAUUCACGCCAUCCAUAUCUCAAUUCAGAUUAGAUGUGUCUUACCUACACCCAAUACUUAUCAAAAAGGUAGAUACUGCAUCUGCAACUCACUUUACAUAUUACACAAGCCUUGGUUCAUAUAGUCGUCUGCACCUUCUACCAAUUUAUUUGCUCGUGUUCGCUGCACUGUCCCUGCUCAAACAAAAAUUAUAGGUC
rnacentral:lncRNA from 1 species